CUCAUUACCACGGUUACUUGUCAAAUUCUGUCAUAAUCAUAAUUGUACUAGUAAAUAUUUUCGCUCUUGCAUAACAACAAUGUCUAAUCCAAAGAAAGAUUCGUUACACGCCCCUAACCCUAAUGAUAAUCCGACAUACAAAAUAUUAAAAAAUUUCAUUGGCAAUAUAAUGAGAUGUGACUAUCAUGAUUAUGUUGACAAAAUUUGACAUUAAUCUGAAAAUGUACGUAGAAGGCACGAGAUAUUUAAUUACAAGGAAAUUUUAAAGUGUUUUAUGUAACACACAUGAUACAAAUAAUUUCAUGAGCUACCGUAUGUUCGAUGUCCGAUAUGAUAUUCAUUCAUUGUAACAGUCGUAUCAGCAUGUUUUCUCAUUGCAAUUAGUUAAAUAAUGUAAACGUAAAUUAUGAUAUAAUUGUGAAAUAUACGCGCACGAAUGCUAUAAUACUAAAGUGAAAAGCAUUAUUAUUUUAUUACUGUUACCAACAACGAGCGAUAUCAGUACAAUUAUAUAAUAAUGAUGUGUUUAUUACGCUUAAUCUAAUGAUUUACGCACGAUAAACAUGCAAUGAAGUUUCUUAUGCUUUUACAAUCUCGCAGUUGAAAAGGUCUUAUACAUACUUAACGAAACUAAUGAUGUUUGAACCAAAGCUUAUUAAGACUUUCCUCUGUUAUAAUCAAAACUAUAUACUUUUGAAAUUCUGCAUCGAUUUUCUGAAACAUCCUGUAUAACACAGAUAGUAGCCGCGGAAAGAAAAGGAACGGAAAAGGAGGAAAGAAGAAAAGAACGUAUCGUUUCCUAUGUGUUUUCGAUCAAACGUGUUCUUGCUAUUUCGCAUUAAACCGCAUAUUCCGUGCUGAUUGACCGUAUCAGUGUUACGAGAUCAAUCAGCUCGAUUAUUAAGCUGUCGAUAUCUAAUCAAGAAUGACCCUACUUCGGUAAAAGGAUCAACUAUAGACGUGGUUAUCCGUGCAAAUACGUAUGUAUUGCAAUGUUAUGCGUUGUGUGUAUGAACAACGACGGAGCCCUCGUUUCUCGCGUCGCGUCGAACAGCCUAAAAACCAGGCCAUUUGUCACGCAACGUCGAUUCGGACGAGCCUUAAAAACAGGAAACUUUAAUUAAUUCGGUGGCGGAGUACAUGAGCUCGUUGGAAUAUCGACAGGCGAGAGAAGCCAGCCAUGACUACAAUAAGCAACGGAUGAAGAACCAACAGCAGCUUUCGUCCGACAAGUGUCUUUCUGCUACGGACUCUAAUAAUACUAAUGCUUUUCCGGAAGUUGAUCAGAGUUCACAUGGAAGAUAAAAUCAAACGAUUUUGUUCCUGAUUGUUAUACGUAGAAUGUAUUGGUAAUAUUUAUGUUUGAUAUUUUAUCAAUCAACUGAUGUAGAAGGUAUAUUGGUAUGUAAUGGUGUUUGAAUAAAGAUCAAAGAGGUAAUAGCUAA